rnacentral:rRNA from 1 species
UACGUAGGGUGCGAGCGUUGUCCGGAUUUAUUGGGCGUAAAGAGCUCGUAGGUGGUCUGUUGCGUCGGUUGUGAAAACCCGGGGCUUAACUCCGGGCCUGCAGUCGAUACGGGCAGACUAGAGUUCGGCAGGGGAGACUGGAAUUCCUGGUGUAGCGGUGAAAUGCGCAGAUAUCAGGAGGAACACCGGUGGCGAAGGCGGGUCUCUGGGCCGAUACUGACGCUGAGGAGCGAAAGCGUGGGGAGCGAACAGG